GUCGUGGCUUGGGUUUUGCCAGCUGGCGCUGAUCUCCUCUAUGAGUAAUCAUGUGAGGUGCCAGAUCUAUGGCGUUUCCCUAAUGUAUCCGGAUGCACCCUUGUCUUGGCAGAAAGCCGUGGUGAGGUGCAGUGGCGGAAUCGUGGUUUAAUAAUCGGGUUGGUACUCAGUUGUCAGUGUGUUUGGCGAUCCCCUAGUCGGCACACUCAUGAUUUCUGGGAUAAUUCCAUACCAGGCACGUUCCGUUACUGUUACUUUGUCAUUGGUUUGAUGCUGAACUUGGUCAUGUGUCUGAUGCUAUUUCAUAUAACGACGGUACCCUUCGUGGUCUGUCUUCCUGACCUCGGUUCAGACGUGAUUACCCGCUGAACUUAAGCAUAUCACU
rnacentral:rRNA from 1 species